GUUGGAGGUGAUGUUGGCGUUGGGCCUUCUGAAAGCCUGCUCCAGAGGGUUCCUCUUGAAGCUGGACAUCACAUGGUGCUCUGGGAGAGAAUACAAAGGAGUUAAAAAUGUGAUGGAAUCUGUGGCUUGGAGCUGACAUCCCUAUCUUACAGCUCUAUUCUGUUGUGGCAUUUUAAGGGGUGUAACGUUAGGGAAGUGCCUCUCACACUAUAUUAGAGAAAUGGGAUGUAUCCAGGGGUGUGGUUUUCUGUUGCACUAAUGACCUCAUUCACAGCAGCUGCACACCUUCUCCACCUGGCUGCAAUCAAGGCUGCUCAGACCAAGGUAAAACAGCUGGGGGAACUGCUAGUGAAAGAACCAGUGGGUGAUACGGGUGUGAAUUUGUUCCUGUGUGCUUUCUUUUGAAGACUCGUGACCCACCAGCCUCUAUAAAGAAGUGAACAGCCUUACGAGGGUAGCUCUCCUGUGUAGGAGACUAUCUGGGUUGAUCUCAUCACUUUUGAGACCUCUCCACAAGAUGAGAGCCAAGUGGAGGAAGAACCGUAUGCGCGGGCUGAAGCGUAAAAGGUGGAAAAUGAGGCAGAGGUCCAAGUAGACUGGGCCCAUCCCCUACAGCUGUGAUACCCCUCCAAGACCACUCUGGUGAUUGAAGCCUGCGGUCCAUGAUGUGCCAACAGCUGAACUAUGGUUGUCUGAAGCCAACCUCAUUGCAAUGGAGUAAAGGACAGAUCCCGGACACCCAGCCCUCUACUAUGCUAAUGGCGGCUGGCCAGCAACGACUACUGGAGAAUGACGAGGAAGACUAGAGAAAUUAUCUCCUAUCGUUGAACUCUGGACUUUUACCACCUGCCCAGCAUUUUAUUUGUUGUGUAGACUUUUUUUAUUCAUCUUUGGUUUAUUAACCACAAAAUAAAGAACAAUUGUUAUUGGUUAAA